ACGCACGCUGGCGGCGUGCUUAACACAUGCAAGUCGAACGGAAAGGCCCUGCUUUUGUGGGGUGCUCGAGUGGCGAACGGGUGAGUAACACGUGAGUAACCUGCCCUUGACUUUGGGAUAACUUCAGGAAACUGGGGCUAAUACCGGAUAGGAGCUCCUGCUGCAUGGUGGGGGUUGGAAAGUUUCGGCGGUUGGGGGUGGACUCGCGGCUUAUCAGCUUGUUGGUGGGGUAGUGGCUUACCAAGGCUUUGACGGGUAGCCGGCCUGAGAGGGUGACCGGCCACAUUGGGACUGAGAUACGGCCCAGACUCCUACGGGAGGCAGCAGUGGGGAAUAUUGCACAAUGGGCGGAAGCCUGAUGCAGCAACGCCGCGUGCGGGAUGACGGCCUUCGGGUUGUAAACCGCUUUCGCCUGUGACGAAGCGUGAGUGACGGUAAUGGGUAAAGAAGCACCGGCUAACUACGUG
rnacentral:rRNA from 1 species